AGCUUUCUUUAACAUCUCCGUGUCAUUUCUUUUGUUCUCACCGUGAGAUGCGACGACUCUUGCUCUUCUCUUCCAUCACGGUGUGACGACACCGAUCUAUUCCACCAUCUAAGAUGGAGAUGCGACUCUUGCUCCUCUCUACCGUCGGAUUUACUUCCAUAAUCGACGAAAGGGAAUUGCAGUUCCGAAAGGAUAUCGCUGUUCACUUUAUUGUUCAUAUGGCCUAAACAAAAAAUAGAAGAAGAAGAAGGAGAAGAAGAAAAAGUCAAAAAAUGAGAAGUUGUAUUAAUUUUUAUACUUUUUAAUGGAUUUAAGAUUUCAUGUUGGGUUUCGAAUUAUCUUUUUGUUGGGCUAAUAGGCCUCUUUUUAGUGUAAAAAGUGAAUCCCUAAAUCUUAUUGAAAUCUUAUUUU